CUAGUUGGUGAGGUAACUGCUCACCAAGGCUACGAUAGGUAGGGGAUCUGAGAGGACUACCCCCCACACUGGUACUGAGACACGGACCAGACUCCUACGGGAGGCAGCAGUAAGGAAUAUUGGUCAAUGGAGGCAACUCUGAACCAGCCAUGCCGCGUGCAGGAAGAAGGCCCUAUGGGUCGUAAACUGCUUUUAUACGGGAGAAAACCUGGGUACGUGUACCCAGUUGAUAGUACUGUAAGAAUAAGGAUCGGCUAACUUCGUGCCAGCAGCCGCGGUAAGACGAAGGAUCCAAGCGUUAUCCGGAUUCAUUGGGUUUAAAGGGUGCGUAGGCGGACUUAUAAGUCAGUGGUGAAAGCCGAUAGCUUAACUAUCGAACUGCCAUUGAUACUGUAGGUCUAGAGUAUAGAUGAUGUCGGCGGAAUAUGACAUGUAGCGGUGAAAUGCAUAGAUAUGUCAUAGAACACCGAUUGCGAAGGCAGCUGACAAAACUAUAACUGACGCUGAUGCACGAAAGUGCGGGGAUCAAACAGGAUUAGAUACCCUGGUAGUCCGCACAGUAAACGAUGAUAACUAGAUGUUUGCGAUAUACAGUAAGCGUCCAAGCGAAAGCGAUAAGUUAUCCACCUGGGGAGUACGCUCGCAAGAGUGAAACUCAAAGGAAUUGACG
rnacentral:rRNA from 1 species